UGAAGAUUAUAGAUUGUAUGAGGAACCGACAACUACUUUGUCCUUUGUUGAAGCUAUUUUUUGUCUUUGCCGGUGCCAAAUCAGUUGUUUAUUCACAUAUAUACGAAUUUGUUAGUAUUCAUCUAAAGUGUAUAUAAAAUUUGCAUAUUGGAAGAAGUAGACAUCACUUGGGAAAUCAUACAUUUUGCUCACAAGUGAAUAUAAGGAAAGUUUUUACUUGUCAAUAUGUUUAGAAGCAAACGAAAAAACCAUAAAAAUAGUAAGUAGAAUCCAAGGGCUAAAAUGUAACUGAACUGAACUCAAAACCUUCAGGAGUAACUCAGCUUUAACCAGAGUUAUAAAAUUAUACUCAUAUUCUUAUGAAUGUCGCAAUUGAACUAGAAAAGAAAUAUACUGUUUGAAGAGCAUUCUGAUUAGCCUGCACUUUGGCCUUUAAAUGGAGAUUUUUUUUGGAUAAGAUAAAAUCCAAGAUUAUUUGUCUUCAAUUUUUUUAUAUGCUCCAGUAAUAUAUAUAUCUUGCACAUGCUAUAUCCACUGAUUACAUGUCAUUUAAACAAACUAUCUAGGAAAUCAAAUGGCAUAGGCAGAAGAUUAAUAAAUAAUCACUAGCAAUAGAACAUGUGCUUCUUGAUGUUUUCAUUAAGUUUAGGUAGAGAUGCUGUCUUUGGAGGAGGAGCUCUGGAUAGUGUAGAUGUGCUUCUGAACAAAACGUAAGGACUCUGAUCUCUCAAGGGUCAAAAUUUUGAGCAAUCAUGGGAAGCUUGAUGAAGAGAUGGUAGGGUUGUUACGAAAUUCUUAGAGGAUAAUCGUAAGGUUGCUGCUUUGACAAAGGUGGAGAAGCCUGUAAACCGUAGUUACAGCCUGUAACUAAGGUCAAAGCUUUGUCAUUUGGGGAGAGGGCUAAGCUGUUGAAUUAUCCAAUGGGACAGAGGUUGUUUGAGAUAAUGGCUGAGAAGGAGAGUAAUAUGUGUUUGGCUGCUGAUGUUGGAACUGGAGCUGAAUUGCUUGAAAUUGCUGAGAAGGUUGGACCUGAGAUAUGCUUGCUGAAGACUCAUGUAGAUAUUUUUCCAGAUUUUACUGCUGAUUUUGGCUCUAAUCUUCUCUCAGUAUAGUGCUAAAAGAUGCUCUCCUUUGUCUAUAUGCCUUUUUUCCUUCACAGGAUAGCACAAGAAACCUUUUGGUUUCUGAUAUUAUUGACAUUAGCACACUAGAAGAUUUGCUUGAAUUUAUUCAAACAUGAUGCCAAUUCCUGCCUUUAACCAAUGAUAAGGGUGUUUUGUACUGUGAGCAUUGUGUGUGAUAAGUUUCAGGCAAUCUUGUACAUUUCUGGUCUAGUUGAUCUAAUAUAUGCUUUAUUUUACUGAAGAUUGCAGAAAAAGAUAACUUCUUAAUCUUUGAGGAUCGUAAAUUUGCUGAUAUUGGCAACACAAUGACCAUGCAAUAUGAAGGGUAAGACUGCUCAACUAUCAUUGAAUCUUGUUCUGGCUUCCUCUUAGUCUUAUCUAUUUCUGCAUUCAAUAUGACUUUUUAUUCCAUUAUCUCAGAGGGGUCUUUCGUAUAUUGAAUUGGGCUCAUAUAGUAAAUGUUCACAUAAUCUCAGGUCCUGGAAUUGUAAAUAAAUUGUCAUCAUAUUUGCUGAUGAAUCCUGUCGAGAACUAAUAAGGAGGGUGUUGAUUCUGCAGUACAGAAAUUGGUUGCUUAUAAUAACAGCUUGUGUGAAUUCCAUUUUUCCAUUUUUUGCUUAAGGAAGUAAAUGCUUGAGUGAUACUGAAGAAAGUGAAUUCCAUUUGUUUUUGUAGGUGAGUUAAUUAUUGGAUUUGAUUGUUCACAGCUUCUAUAGCCUUAAGGAAGUUUUACUUUGAGAACUUGUCAGUUCUUCUGUUAGUGUAAAAUGUAGGAGAAAAAAAGGCUAGAAAGAAGAGGAGGACCUGUGAUUGCAAUGAAGAUGAUGGUGAUGAGCUGCUAGAUUAUGACUCAGCAAGCCAUAAGUUGGUUUCUCUGUCAAAUACUAGAAGUUGGUUGCUUUAUAUAUGUGAAUUUGCAUUUUGGUGAAAUCAUUUGAUUCUAUUUGGUGAAAGCAUUUGAAUUUGCAUAUGUGAAAUUGAGUUAUAGUUUCACUCUUUUGAUUCUUUUUUUUUUUUUACCUUAACUCAGGUUCAUAUCAUAGUGCAUGCCUUACAUAUUAAUUGACUUAGCUCAUGUGCACCUUGAUUUAGUUAAGAACAGAAGUUGCUGCAAAUAUUGAUGAUUCUGAAAAACAUUUGAUGUACUUUACACCAAAUUGGCUUAACUGUAGCAA